AGAACGAACGCUGGCGGCAUGCCUAACACAUGCAAGUCGAACGAGACCUUCAGGUCUAGUGGCGCACGGGUGCGUAACGCGUGGGAAUCUACCCUUGGGUUCGGAAUAACAGUUGGAAACGACUGCUAAUACCGGAUGAUGUCGCAAGACCAAAGAUUUAUCGCCCAAGGAUGAGCCCGCGUAGGAUUAGCUAGUUGGUGAGGUAAAGGCUCACCAAGGCGACGAUCCUUAGCUGGUCUGAGAGGAUGAUCAGCCACACUGGGACUGAGACACGGCCCAGACUCCUACGGGAGGCAGCAGUGGGGAAUAUUGGACAAUGGGCGAAAGCCUGAUCCAGCAAUGCCGCGUGAGUGAUGAAGGCCUUAGGGUUGUAAAGCUCUUUACCGGGAUGAUAAUGACAGUACGGAGAAUAAGCUCCGGACUAACUCCGCGACCAGACGAGCCGCGGU
rnacentral:rRNA from 1 species